UCUGGUCUGGUUCCUGCGGUCAACUUGUCCCAGGCCAGUCAGGGUCUACAUGCACUACACAGAAUGAAGACAUUGGAUAAACAGUCGCAAGUUGCUCUCUUCACCCGAGGUGAGGGCCCAAACUGGAGGAGGUCGGUCACCUGUCUUCAGCCGCUUUCUGCCGGACUCGGGUCCAGCCAUUU